GAUGAAGAACGUAGCAAAAUGCGAUACUUGGUGUGAAUUGCAGAAUCCCGUGAACCAUCGAGUUUUUGAACGCAAGUUGCGCCCGAAGCCUUUUGGCCGAGGGCACGUCUGCCUGGGCGUCACGCAUCGCGUCGCCCCCCCACAAUUCUCCGUAAAGGGAACUUGUGUUUUGGGGGCGGAUAUUGGUCUCCCGUGCUCAUGGCGUGGUUGGCCGAAAUAGGAGUCCUUUCGAUGGACGCACGAACUAGUGGUGGUCGUAAAAACCCUCGUCUUUUGUUUCGUGCUGUUGCUCGCAAGGUAAACUCUUUAAAAACCCCAAUGUGUCGUCUCUUGACGACGCUUCGACCGCGACCCCAGGUCAGGCGGGACUACCCGCUGAGUUUAAGCAUAUCAAUAAGCGGAGGA
rnacentral:misc_RNA from 1 species